UGGGGAAUAUUGCACAAUGGGCGCAAGCCUGAUGCAGCCAUGCCGCGUGUAUGAAGAAGGCCUUCGGGUUGUAAAGUACUUUCAGUCGGGAGGAAGGUGGUAAGGUUAAUAACCUUGGCAAUUGACGUUACCGACAGAAGAAGCACCGGCUAACUCCGUGCCAGCAGCCGCGGUAAUACGGAGGGUGCAAGCGUUAAUCGGAAUUACUGGGCGUAAAGCGCACGCAGGCGGUUGAUUGAGUCAGAUGUGAAAUCCCCGGGCUUAACCCGGGAAUUGCAUCUGAUACUGGUCAGCUAGAGUCUUGUAGAGGGGGGUAGAAUUCCAUGUGUAGCGGUGAAAUGCGUAGAGAUGUGGAGGAAUACCGGUGGCGAAGGCGGCCCCCUGGACAAAGACUGACGCUCAGGUGCGAAAGCGUGGGUAGCAAACAGG
rnacentral:rRNA from 1 species